CCUACGGGUGGCUGCAGUGGGGAAUAUUGGACAAUGGGCGAAAGCCUGAUCCAGCCAUGCCGCGUGUGUGAAGAAGGCCUUCGGGUUGUAAAGCACUUUCAGUGGGGAAGAAAGCCUGGGGGCUAAUACCCUCGAGGAAGGACAUCACCCACAGAAGAAGCACCGGCUAACUCCGUGCCAGCAGCCGCGGUAAUACGGAGGGUGCGAGCGUUAAUCGGAAUUACUGGGCGUAAAGCGCGCGUAGGCGGUCUGAUAAGCCGGUUGUGAAAGCCCCGGGCUCAACCUGGGAACGGCAUCCGGAACUGUCAGGCUAGAGUGCAGGAGAGGAAGGUAGAAUUCCCGGUGUAGCGGUGAAAUGCGUAGAGAUCGGGAGGAAUACCAGUGGCGAAGGCGGCCUUCUGGACUGACACUGACGCUGAGGUGCGAAAGCGUGGGUAGCAAACAGGAUUAGAUACCCGAGUAGUC
rnacentral:rRNA from 1 species